GACGGAGGAUGCAAGCGUUAUCCGGAAUUAUUGGGCGUAAAGCGUCCGCAGGUGGCUAGUCAAGUCUGCUGUCAAAGCGCGGAGCUUAACUUCGUAAAGGCAGUGGAAACUGAUUAGCUAGAGCAUGGUAGGGGUAGAGGGAAUUCCCGGUGUAGCGGUGAAAUGCGUAGAGAUCGGGAAGAACACCAGUGGCGAAAGCAGUCUUCUGGACGAAUACUGACGCUCAGGUUCGAAAGCCAAGGUAGCAAACAGG
rnacentral:rRNA from 1 species